AGUACAAUCGCAACGGACGUAUACAGCGGACGUAGACGUAGACGCGCGCAGUCCGCCAGUUGGUAGCGACGCCGUCGCUUGGCCGUUCACAACCUUCCACCUUCCACUUUAGUCUCGCACGCCGUUCAGGCAGGACGUGUUCCUCCGUUCUUUGGCUCGCUCGUGUAUUAGGGUGCACGCGCCAAGUGUACGUAACGCGCCUCCCACGUCGGAAACUUAUUUUCGAUGCUCGCGGCAAGUUGUAACGUCAAAGUGCAUCGCGACGUUCGUUGGUCUUAUUUGCAAAUUACAAGAUCGUCAUUGUAUUAAAACUAUUCUCACGUGGCGAGAGAUUGCAAUUUUUCGGUAGUACAAAAGGUACCGACAAGGUAUUCUUGCGACGAACGCUGCAUGGAACAACGACAACGCUAGCGAAGAUAUCGUCUUCGUAAAAGCGGCGCAACUUUGGAAAGCAAAGAAUCACGCGAGAAGUUCCGCUCUGGAAUAAUUCCC